rnacentral:rRNA from 1 species
AAGAGGCGCGCUACCUGCAAGUCGAGCGGUAGCACAGAGAGCUUGCUCUCGGGUGACGAGCGGCGGACGGGUGAGUAAUGUCUGGGAAACUGCCUGAUGGAGGGGGAUAACUACUGGAAACGGUAGCUAAUACCGCAUAAUGUCGCAAGACCAAAGUGGGGGACCUUCGGGCCUCAUGCCAUCAGAUGUGCCCAGAUGGGAUUAGCUAGUAGGUGGGGUAACGGCUCACCUAGGCGACGAUCCCUAGCUGGUCUGAGAGGAUGACCAGCCACACUGGAACUGAGACACGGUCCAGACUCCUACGGGAGGCAGCAGUGGGGAAUAUUGCACAAUGGGCGCAAGCCUGAUGCAGCCAUGCCGCGUGUGUGAAGAAGGCCUUCGGGUUGUAAAGCACUUUCAGCGGGGAGGAAGGCGAUAAGGUUAAUAACCUCGUCGAUUGACGUUACCCGCAGAAGAAGCACCGGCUAACUCCGUGCCAGCAGCCGCGGUAAUACGGAGGGUGCAAGCGUUAAUCGGAAUUACUGGGCGUAAAGCGCACGCAGGCGGUCUGUCAAGUCGGAUGUGAAAUCCCCGGGCUCAACCUGGGAACUGCAUUCGAAACUGGCAGGCUAGAGUCUUGUAGAGGGGGGUAGAAUUCCAGGUGUAGCGGUGAAAUGCGUAGAGAUCUGGAGGAAUACCGGUGGCGAAGGCGGCCCCCUGGACAAAGACUGACGCUCAGGUGCGAAAGCGUGGGGAGCAAACAGGAUUAGAUACCCUGGUAGUCCACGCCGUAAACGAUGUCGAUUUGGAGGUUGUGCCCUUGAGGCGUGGCUUCCGGAGCUAACGCGUUAAAUCGACCGCCUGGGGAGUACGGCCGCAAGGUUAAAACUCAAAUGAAUUGACGGGGGCCCGCACAAGCG